rnacentral:rRNA from 1 species
UACGUAGGGUGCGAGCGUUAAUCGGAAUUACUGGGCGUAAAGUGUGCGCAGGCGGCAGAGCAAGUCGAGUGUGAAAGCCCCGGGCUUAACUUGGGAAUUGCGCUCGAAACUAACUUUGCUGGAGUGUGGCAGAGGAAGGUGGAAUUCCACGUGUAGCGGUGAAAUGCGUAGAGAUGUGGAGGAACACCAAUGGCGAAGGCAGCCAUUCUGGGCCAACACUGACGCUCAUGCACGAAAGCGUGGGGAGCAAACAGGA